UACGAAGGGGGCUAGCGUUGCUCGGAAUUACUGGGCGUAAAGGGCGCGUAGGCGGAUAUCUAAGUUGGGGGUGAAAGCCCGGGGCUCAACCUCGGAAUAGCCUUCAAUACUGGAUAUCUUGAGUUCGGGAGAGGUGAGUGGAAUGCCGAGUGUAGAGGUGAAAUUCGUAGAUAUUCGGCGGAACACCAGUGGCGAAGGCGACUCACUGGCCCGAGUACUGACGCUGAGGCGCGAAAGCGUGGGGAGCA
rnacentral:rRNA from 1 species